UCAAAGUAAAGCCCUCAGCUCCGCAACUGU
rnacentral:piRNA from 1 species